rnacentral:snRNA from 1 species
GGGUGAUCUGGCUGUGCGACAUCUGUCACCCCACUGACUGCCAGGGUUGAUUCGGCUGAUCUGGCUGGUUAGGUGGCUGCCCCCUUCCUCACAGCUCCACAUGCAUGGCUCCCAAAGCUGUACGCUCAGUCGAAGAGGACGACCUUCCCCAAAUAGAGCUGGUAAAGAGUAUAUGAGUAGUUGUGCUCCCCUGCUAGAACCUCCAAACAAACUCUCAAGAACGGGGCAAUAUGUGAGUUUUACUGGGUGUGUCAUCACCAGGCCCCUUGUUUUGGUUUUAAUCUGAAAUGGAUGAGACAUUUAUUGAGGGAA